rnacentral:rRNA from 1 species
GAAGCGAAGCGGUGACGUGGAGCAAACCUCAGAAAGCCAAUCUCAGUUCGGAUUGUAGGCUGCAACUCGCCUACAUGAAGUUGGAAUCNCUAGUAAUCGCGAAUCAGAAUGUCGCGGUGAAUACGUUCCCGGGUCUUGUACACACCGCCCGUCACACCACGAGAGUUUACAACACCCGAAGUCAGUGGCCUAACCGCAAGGAGGGAGCUGCCUAAGGUGGGGUAGAUGAUUGGGGUGAAGUCGUAACAAGGUAAC